ensembl:lncRNA novel transcript
AUCCUCAUGGCAAUCCUGGGAUGGUGGUUUUAUUAUCCCUGCUUUAACAGAGGGAGGACUUGAAUCUCGAGUUAAAGUAAUUUGCUCAGGAUUGUAAGGUCUUUUGUGAAGACUUUGAAGUUGCAGGUUCAUUCUGCCGCCAUAUACGUAACAUUCUAAGGUCUGCUUUUUAUAAGACAUAAUAGCUGACACUAUGAGCAAAAGAGACAGAGCUGUUGCCAUUAUGUGGCUUACAGUUUAAUGAAGAAGAUGGACAACAAUCUCACAAGUAAAUCUAUACCUACAAAGUAUGAGAAGUCCUGAAAAAGGAAGGUACAGGUAACUGGGAAGGAAUACAUGAUUAACUCUAUGGUGUCAGGGGGGCUUCAUUCCCUCCAAUUAAUGUUUUCUUCCAGAAUUUCCUUUACUAGAUAUAUUCUACAAACGUCAGAUAUAUUUUCAAGUUUUUAAACAAAUUUGAUCCAUACUUUAAUUAGAGUUGAAUUAAAUUUGUAAUUGAAUUCA